rnacentral:rRNA from 1 species
GCGCAACCCUUAUCCUUGUUUGCCAGCACUUCGGGUGGGAACUCCAGGGAGACUGCCGGUGAUAAACCGGAGGAAGGUGGGGACGACGUCAAGUCAUCAUGGCCCUUACGAGUAGGGCUACACACGUGCUACAAUGGCAUAUACAGAGGGCAGCAAGACCGCGAGGUGGAGCGAAUCCCAGAAAGUAUGUCGUAGUCCGGAUCGGAGUCUGCAACUCGACUCCGUGAAGUCGGAAUCGCUAGUAAUCGUGGAUCAGAAUGCCACGGUGAAUACGUUCCCGGGCCUUGUACACACCGCCCGUCACACCAUGGGAGUGGGCUGCACCAGAAGUAGAUAGCCUAACCUUCGGGAGGGCGUUUACCACGGUGUGGUUCAUGACUGGGGUGAAGUCGUAACAAGGUAGCCCUAGGGGAACCUGGGGCUGGAUCACCUCCUUACAAAAAAG